rnacentral:rRNA from 2 species
CGCCCCUAGAAAGGUAAAUACCAAAAAAUUAGGGGUACUGCCUGCCCAGUGACGUAGGGUUUAACGGCCGCGGUAUCUUGACCGUGCAAAGGUAGCAUAAUCACUUGCCUUUUAAAUGGAGGCUGGAAUGAAUGGCAAGACGGAAGUUUGACUGUCUCUUUCUUAAUAACCCUGAAUUUUAUAUUCUAGUGAAGAAGCUGGAAUAGUAUCGUGGGACGAGAAGACCCUGUUGAGCUUAAGCGAUCAGGAUAAGCAUAGUUUUUUUAUUUUUUACUAACUAAGACAGAUAAUUUGUUUUUAUAUAUUUAUUCAUUGUAAGAAAAAUGCUGUGUUUGUGUUGCUUUGGUUGGGGCAACCGCGGAGAAUAAGAAACCUCCGCUUAGAUAUAAUAGAAAAGUACAGUUUUUGUUAAGAAAAUUUCUGUAUAAAUGAUCCACCGCUAGGUGAUCAAAGGAAAAAGUUACCACAGGGAUAACAGCGUAAUUUUUUUGGAGAGUUCAUAUUGAUAAAAAAGUUUGCGACCUCGAUGUUGGAUCGAGACUUCCUGGGGGUGCAGCAGCUCCCGAGGGUUGGUCUGUUCGACCAUUAAAGUCUU